GGGGAAUAUUGGACAAUGGGCGAAAGCCUGAUCCAGCCAUGCCGCGUGUGUGAAGAAGGUCUUCGGAUUGUAAAGCACUUUAAGUUGGGAGGAAGGGCUGCAAGUUAAUACCUUGUAGUUUUGACGUUACCAACAGAAUAAGCACCGGCUAACUUCGUGCCAGCAGCCGCGGUAAUACGAAGGGUGCAAGCGUUAAUCGGAAUUACUGGGCGUAAAGCGCGCGUAGGUGGUCUGUCAAGUCGGAUGUGAAAUCCCACGGCUCAACCGUGGAACUGCCUUUGAUACUGCUUAGCUUGAAUCCGGGAGAGGGUGGCGGAAUUCCAGGUGUAGGAGUGAAAUCCGUAGAUAUCUGGAGGAACAUCAGUGGCGAAGGCGGCCACCUGGACCGGUAUUGACGCUGAGGUGCGAAAGCGUGGGGAGCAAACA
rnacentral:rRNA from 1 species